UACGGAGGAUGCAAGCGUUAUCCGGAAUGAUUGGGCGUAAAGCGUCCGCAGGUGGCUGUGUAAGUCUGCUGUUAAAGAGUCUAGCUCAACUAGAUACAAGCAGUGGAAACUACACGGCUAGAGUACGUUCGGGGCAGAGGGAAUUCCUGGUGUAGCGGUGAAAUGCGUAGAGUAUCAGGAAGAACACCGGUGGCGAAAGGCGGUCUCUGGCCUAGGCCGUAACUGACGACUGAAGGGACC
rnacentral:rRNA from 1 species